UACGAAGGAUCCAAGCGUUGUCCGGAUUUACUGGGUUUAAAGGGUGCGUAGGCGGACUUUUUAAGUCAGUGGUGAAAGCCUGUAGCUUAACUAUAGAAUUGCCAUUGAAACUGAAAGUCUCGAGUGUGGUUGAGGUAACUGGAAUAUAUCAUGUAGCGGUGAAAUGCUUAGAUAUGAUAUAGAAACACCAAUUGCGAAGGCAGGUUACUGAGCCAUUACUGACGCUGAGGCACGAAAGCGUGGGGAGUCAAACA
rnacentral:rRNA from 1 species